rnacentral:rRNA from 1 species
CCUACGGGCGGCUGCAGUCGAGAAUUUUUGGCAAUGGGCGAAAGCCUGACCAAGCGAUGCCGCGUGCGGGAUGAAGGCCUUCGGGUUGUAAACCGCUGUCAGUGGGGAGGAAAGCUUUGUGAAGAGCAGAGCUUGACCUAUCCGCAGAGGAAGUGUGGGCUAAGUUCGUGCCAGCAGCCGCGGUAAGACGAACCACACAAACGUUAUUCGGAAUUACUGGGCUUAAAGGGUGCGUAGGCUGCGCAGUAAGUUGGGUGUGAAAUACCUCGGCUCAACCGAGGAACUGCGCCCAAAACUACUGUGCUUGAGGAAGAUAGAGGUAAGCGGAACUUACGGUGGAGCGGUGAAAUGCGUUGAUAUCGUAAGGAACACCUGUGGCGAAAGCGGCUUACUGGGUCUUUUCUGACGCUGAUGCACGAAAGCUAGGGGAGCAAACGGGAUUAGAUACCCCUGUAGUC